UGACCUCGGAUCAGGUAGGGAUACCCGCUGAGACUU
rnacentral:rRNA from 1 species